rnacentral:tRNA from 1 species
UCCAUGGUGGCUCAGUGGGUUGAGCAUCUGGCUUUGUCACCACUGUGGCUCAGGUUGCUGCUAUGGUGUUGGUUCGAUCCCUAUUCCUGGAG